CCUACGGUGAGCAGCAGUAGGGAAUUUUGCGCAAUGGGGGAAACCCUGACGCAGCAACGCCGCGUGAUCGAUGAAGCCCUUCGGGGUGUAAAGAUCUGUCAGUGGGGACGAAACCUGACGGUACCCACAGAGGAAGCACCGGCUAACUCCGUGCCAGCAGCCGCGGUACUAAGGGGGGUGCAAGCGUUGUCCGGAAUCAUUGGGCGUAAAGAGUUCGUAGGUGGUACGUUAAGUCUGGUGUUCAAGGCGGAAGGUCAACUUCCGUAGGGUACUGGAUACUGGCGAGCUGGAAUGCGGUAGAUGUAAAGGGAAUCCCUGGGGUCGCGGUGAAAUGCGUAGAUAGCAGGAGGAACAUCGGGGGCGUAAGCGCUUGACUGGGCCGUAAUUGACACUGAGGAACGAAAGCCGGGGUAGCAAAUGGGAUUAGAUACCCGUGUAGUC
rnacentral:rRNA from 1 species